GUACAUUAACUGCUAUAACUGCUAUGUAUGUUUUAACUGCUUACUACUGAAUUAACUCUAUGAACAAUGUAUGUCUGAUUAUGAAUAUAUCAAUGAAGGGGGUCUUUUACUUAUUCCGAUGUGCUUGAAAAGAUUUUUAUGUUUGUCAUAUGCUAAUUCAUGAGCAAUACAAAAUAAAUCAGAAAAGUAUUUGAAAUAAAAAAGGAUCUAUUC
rnacentral:lncRNA from 1 species